rnacentral:rRNA from 1 species
ACCUUCAUGCCCAGGGGACGUGGAUAACCUCGGGAAACUCCUAUUAAACCGCGAUAGGUCAAGAUUUCUGGAAUGGAUCCUGGCUUAAAUCUACAUGGCCCCUGGAUUGGACUGCGGCCGAUCAGGCUGUUGGUGAGGUAAUGGCCCACCAAACCUAUAACCGGUACGGGCUCUGAGAGGAGAAGCCCGGAGAUGGGCACUGAGACAAGGGCCCAGGCCCUAUGGGGCGCAGCAGGCGCGAAAACUCUGCAAUGGGCGAAAGCCUGACAGGGUUACUCUGAGUGAUUUCCGCUAAGGAGAUCUUUUGGCAGCUCUAAAAAUGGUGCAGAAUAAGGGGUGGGCAAGUCUGGUGUCAGCCGCCGCGGUAAUACCAGCACCCCGAGUGGUCGGGACGAUUAUUGGGCCUAAAGCAUCCGUAGCCGGUUGUGCAAGUCCUCCGUUAAAUCCAGCCGCUCAACGGAUGGGCUGCGGAGGAUACUACAGAACUAAGAGGCGGGAGAGGCAAGCGGUACUUAGUGGGUAGGGGUAAAAUCCUUUGAUCCAUUGUAGC